UACGGAGGGUGCAAGCGUUAUCCGGAUUUACUGGGCUUAAAGGGUGUGUAGGCGGACUUUUAAGUCAGCGGUGAAAUCUCCGGGCUCAACCCGGAAACUGCCAUUGAUACUAUUGGUCUUGAAUGUUGUUGAGGUGGGCGGAACGGGUCAUGUAGCGGUGAAAUGCAUAGAUAUGACCCGGAACACCGAUUGCGUAGGCAGCCCACUGAGCAGCGAUUGACGCUGAGGCACGAAAGCGUGGGGAGCGAACAGG
rnacentral:rRNA from 1 species